UACGGGGGGGGCAAGCGUUGUUCGGAAUUACUGGGCGUAAAGGGCUCGUAGGCGGCCAACUAAGUCAUACGUGAAAUCCCCGGGCUUAACCUGGGAAUGGCAUUUGGGACUGCAAGGCUGGAGUACGGCAGAGGAGACUGGAAUUCCUGGUGUAGCAGUGAAAUGCGCAGAUAUCAGGAGGAACACCGGUGGCGAAGGCGGGUCUCUGGGCCGAUAUUGACGCUGAGGAGCGAAAGCGUGGGGAGCGAACAGG
rnacentral:rRNA from 1 species